UACGUAGGCAGCAAGCGUUGUUCGGAGUUACUGGGCGUAAAGGGUGUGUAGGCGGUUAUUUAAGUUUGGUGUGAAAUCUCCCGGCUCAACCGGGAGGGUGCGCCGAAUACUGAAUGACUUGGAGUGCGGGAGAAGAAAGUGGAAUUCCUGGUGUAGCGGUGAAAUGCGUAGAUAGUCAGGAGGAACACCGGUGGUGUAGACGGCUUUCUGGGACCGUAACUGACGCUGAGACACGAAAGCGUGGGUAGCAAACAGG
rnacentral:rRNA from 1 species